rfam:Pteropus alecto contig25017, whole genome shotgun sequence.
GGCUCCAUAGAGUAGUGUUAGCAUGUCUGCUUUACACGCAGAAGGUCCUGGGUUUGCACCCCAGGUGGAGCCA